UUUCUCUAGUUUUCUCUUUCUCUGGUAGACAGAAAAGAAAGUAAGAACAUAGCAUAAAUUUUUGUAAAAUUGAAUGAGAAAGGUGAAUGGAGAGUGAAAUAUCCGCAGAGAGAGGGGGUAUCUCAAAAUUCUCUUUCGUCCCUUCCAUUCUCUUCUGAUUACAUUCUUUUGAAUGGAGCUAGUCUUGAAUGGUAUUAAUAGUGUGGUUUUAGAAUCAAAGAAGCUUGUUGCAAAAAUGAACUUGGGUAUGGAUUAUCAGGGUUAUAGAUAUAUUUCUCUGACCUAGAAGUUCAAGUGAGAAUCGCCAUGUUGCUUUCGUUAAUUGAGAAUAUUAUUGGAGAUGAUUCAAGCAAUUUUGAGUCAUGGUUGUAUACAGGAAGAAAUUGGUAAGAGUUCAUAGGAGUUUUUGGGUUUAGAUGGAGCGAGAUUACAGUGGAAGAUGGUAUUGCUGUGAUGCCUAUGUCGGAAGAUAAUUGAGUACUACAAAGUUCCAAUAGGUUUAUUUAAGGCAUGCAACAACAAAAGUAAAAUUUGGGGGUUUAUCAAAGAUUUAGCCGUGAAAACCCGUCUAGGUCUGAUGCUGCUUCAGUUGGAAUUGAGGAAUAAACUUCAAAUUCAGGUUAAAGGUGAAUUGGUUCCAAAAAUUUGAAAGUCCGGUUUCUUGAGUGGCGUAUCAGGAGUCGGAGCUUGUCAAACGAGCCGAAACCCGGUUCCCUGGAAGUCCAGAUUCUAUGAUCUGUCAUAGAAUCUCUUUCUGAAAGUUCUCUAAAAUUAUCGAAGCUCGCCUCAUCUCCAUAUUGCCAAGGGCGAACUCAUUCUCACCAUGAAGAGCAUCUCUUGAAAAGCGAGGGCAGAGUGCAACAACUUCUAAAAUUCGGCUUGGAUAUUGUUGAGCCAUUCUCGGAGCCAUCUCGCGUUAAAGCGAAGAUUUUCGCAAGUGGUCACGAGCUUUCCAAGAUCUAUGAAUUAACCAGAAGGAAUUUUGUUCAGAGUCAAGUCCUGUACGACAUCAAGGGUCUCCAGCAAGUCGUUAAUUAUUUCAAUCAUAGGAGGAACAACAUAAGUUAUUAUCCCCAUUGUAGUAAUAUGGCCAUAUCUUCGCCAAAUCAACCGGUACAAUUCGG